rnacentral:rRNA from 1 species
GAUGAACGCUAGCGGGAGGCCUAACACAUGCCAGCCGAGCGGUAGAGUUCCUUCGGGAACUUGAGAGCGGCGUACGGGUGCGUAACACGUGUGCAACCUACCUUUAUCUGGGGGAUAGCCUUUCGAAAGGAAGAUUAAUACCCCAUAAUAUAAUGAUUGGCAUCAAUUAUUAUUGAAAACUCCGGUGGAUAGAGAUGGGCACGCGCAAGAUUAGAUAGUUGGUGAGGUAACGGCUCACCAAGUCAAUGAUCUUUAGGGGUCCUGAGAGGGAGAUCCCCCACACUGGUACUGAGACACGGACCAGACUCCUACGGGAGGCAGCAGUGAGGAAUAUUGGACAAUGGGUGAAAGCCUGAUCCAGCCAUCCCGCGUGAAGGAUGACGGUCCUAUGGAUUGUAAACUUCUUUUGUACAGGGAUAAACCUACUCUCGUGAGGGUAGCUGAAGGUACUGUACGAAUAAGCACCGGCUAACUCCGUG